rnacentral:snRNA from 1 species
GGAUGUGAAGGUGAUCUGGCUUUGACAUCUGUCACCCCAUUGCUUGCCAGGACUGAUUUGGCUGAUCUGGCUGGUUAGGCAGGUGUCUUCAAACUCCCUCAGUGCCCCAAGUAUAUCUGCCUAAAGCUGAGUAUGUGGCUGGAGAGGACGACCUUCCCCAAUAGAAGAUGGUUCUUUGGUCAAGGGUAUACGAAUAGCUAUGUUUCACUGCCAGAACCUCCAAAGACACUAUCAAGUAUAUUUGCCAUAUUGAAUUUGAUAAACAGUCUAUCAAUUGAUUUUAUUUAUAAUUUUUCUAUGUACAAUAUAU